CCUUUUAGGGAGACCUACUUCAUCAGAGCCGAGACCCAAUUAACACGGUUCGAUGUAAGUCAUCCCAAGGUCGGUCAGGUUAGAGUAGUGAUAGGCUUUCAAACUAUAUUGGUUCGGACAUAGAGUGUUAGGUGAUGCGUUACAUUAGGCACGUCACUUAGGCAUUAUUGUGGCAUUGUUCAAAGCAUGUGUAGAUAGGAAAUAGUCCGAACCGAGAGAUAGGGGCUAUUAGCUCAGGUGGUUAGAGCGCACCCCUGAUAAGGGUGAGGUCCCUGGUUCGAGUCCAGGAUGGCCCACUUAGGUUGGGGGUAUAGCUCAGUUGGUAGAGCGCCUGCUUUGCAAGCAGGAUGUCAGCGGUUCGAGUCCGCUUACCUCCACCAAGGCGAGAUAGUGACUGGUGAGAUAGCGAAUAAGAGAACGUAGCACGUUGCCAUGAGACGGCAUCCUGCUGUGUUCUCAGAGCUCGGCAAGAACCUUGAAAACAGCAUAGUCAGAAUAUUGCUGUAGGUAGUAAGUAAGUAGCUAGACGAAUUAGUUUAGUUGCUUGAUUAAACAGACACCAAUGGAGAAG
rnacentral:tRNA from 1 species